ACACGCAUGACACACUGCAUAUCAAUAAGCGGAGGAAAAGAAACUAACAAGGAUUCCCUUAGUAACGGCGAGUGAAGCGGGAAGAGCUCAAAUUUGAAAUCUUCAAGGGUUCUACCUUUACGAAUUGUAGUUUAAUAGAAGUGUUUUCUGUUGGAGUUUCGGUAAAAGUUCUUUGGAAUAGGACAUCAUAGAGGGUGAGAAUCCCGUAUUUGACCAUUUACUUUCCAGCUGUGUGAUACACUUUCAAAGAGUCGGAUUGUUUGGGAAUGCAGUCCAAAAUGGGUGGUAAAUUUCAUCUAAAGCUAAAUAUUGGCGAGAGACCGAUAGCGAACAAGUACCGUGAGGGAAAGAUGAAAAGAACUUUGAAAAGAGAGUUAAACAGUACGUGAAAUUGUCAAAAGGGAAGCGUUUGACACCAGUGUUGUUUUUCCGAAAAUCAAUUACGAAUGUUUUGUUUUUGAGGAAGUUAUGACUUCAUCGGCUUGCUCUCUUCUUUAUGAAACUUUCUUAAUGCACUUUUCGGUUAACAAGUCAACAUCAAUUUCUUUUGUUGUAAAAGGGUAUGAGGAAGGUGGCUUUCUUUUCGGAGAAAGUGUUUAUAGCCUUGUGCCUCUACAAUCGGAGAGAUUGAGGUCCUGCAGCGUAGAUCCUUCGGGGUUAGAUACAGUUUGUGCUAAGUUAUAGCUUUUCAUAGACAACUUGUUGACUAUGUUUAGUCUUGUAGCUUACUCGCUGAUGCUAUUUUACCUACGCUUAGGAUGUUGACUGAUAUGUAGUCGU
rnacentral:rRNA from 1 species